UUAGUUGAUAUAUAGUCGCUCUAUAAAUUUUGACUUAACGCAAAUUGUUUUGCCAGAUUUUUGGUUUGUUUUAGUGCCAGUACAAGUGCAGUGGCGCAGGCGGCCGCCUUGCCACCACCGCACGUCCACCCGUGCGACGACGAGUCGAAAUUGACUUGAGGUGUUAAUUGCGCUACGGGUGGGUGUGUUUUUUCGGUUCGUUCGACUUUCGAAAUUGCAUAUGACUGCUGGAUAUUAAUGGUGCCAACGUAUCUAUGUCGAGUCCAAACUAAAUUAAUAUGUGCACAGCACAAGUGUGUUUAUCCCUCUUGGCUUCCACUGAUCUACUUUUCGACUGACUCGACUAAUUGUAAUGAAUGCCGAGAUUCUGAAUACUCGACAGAAGGUAGGAACGUCAGUGAGUACAUCAGAACCUUGAAACUCACUUCGAAAAAGACGUUAUUUCAAAAUUUUUGGUCUUAUCACUUAUUGGUUUGAUCUGGAAAGUGAAUCUUAGGUUUGAACUUCCUGAAACUCACUAUGAAAAGUGUUAUUUUAAAAGUUCUGAACUUAUCACUUACUGGUUUGGCCUGCAAAGCAGAAUUGAUUUCAAUAAAUGGAAACAGAGAUGGUAUCCCACGUCGGAUCUGCAGUGGGACUCUCUGAACCCUGAAAAUAAGUUAUUUCAAACCUCUGUUCAUUUCACUUACUAUUUUGUAGAGAAAUACUAACUGUUGGUACUAAAACGGGUACAGAGGUGAGUGCUUACAUCUAGAACUCUUAACUAAAGUUUACUAAAUUCCUAAUAGAACACUUUUAACGACAACUUGAAGAAUUUUCAGAAACACUUGGAUCCCUUAACUGAAAUACCCACUCAAUAAAAAAUAACUAAAUUAUUUAACAUCUCAAAGACAGUCCUUUCAGUAAUAUACACAAAGAAUGUUAAUCCCUUAAUUUCUGAGCGUUAAAAUUAUUCCAAUCUUGCCUUAUUUGGAAUGAAUCUUAAUACCUCUGAGCUGUGCGCGGUCACGUUCUUUAAAGAAUGCUGAGGCAAUACACAAACACGCUGACAGUACGGCUGAGCAUCCUGCGCUUAAGCAUCAACAUUCGAAAACUGCCUCAGAGCAAGAAUCAAAUUAAGCAGAACAGAAAACCGAAAAAUCAAAAAAUAAAAACAAACUUCACAACAGCAAACCACAACUACAAAGCGACUAGGCAAACGUAACGAAGUGGAACUCAUCACCAAACCAAUAUAGACAACAACAAAAAUGAAAAGAGAAUAAGCUUUCAAAACCAAAAAUGGCAAAACCGCUGCACUAUAAUAACAAGAACAAAAGGGAAAUAAAAAAGAUUCUUCAGCGAACGGCGACAGCGACGACAGGCAGCAAGCGGCGAGGCAGCGAGUAAAUGAAGUGCGUGGGCGCAGGCGCAGGUGAUUUUAAUCGGUUGCCAGGAAUCUGACGCAAACAGGUGAAUAACCAACUUGGGCCGCAUGCAAAGCAUGGCACACGGCAUACCUGCGGAAAGCAUUGCACAACAACAACAAUAAUAACAAUGAUAAUGAAGCUGCGCACAAAAUUAAAUCAAGCGAACGAAGGAGCCGCAAGGCUCCAAGUACGGACGGCAUGGAAAAGAUGAGCCAUAGCCAAUGAGCUUUAAAGAAAUUAAUAAACCAAAAAAACAACAACGAGAAAGAAGCAACCAAAUAAAGUGUAGAAUCACGAAUUUCGCUGCGAGAUAUGCAAAAAAGCACAUUGCAGCAAAUUGAAUUUGCGACCGGCCAGUGGACAACGGCAGCCACAGAGUCAGGGUAUAAGGGUAAUAUUAUGGAUAAGGAUGAGCCUGCUUGUUAAGUAUGGUAGCCGCAGCAAUAAGAGUCCGACAUUGAAGAGGAUCUUUGUGGUAUGUAGUUGAGGAAAAAAGCGCAAACUUCGCAGUUUCGCAUAAAUUUCAUGAAUUUUUUGAACCUGUCGUAGAGGCGCGAUGGCGAUAUGAGCAUUUGCAACCAUACGAAGCUACAGGCUGCUGGCCAAAAUCAGACUUUUAGUUGGCGUCGAAACUCGUGCGAAGCGCUUAAUCUGCAUAUACAAGCCAUAAAACAAUUUCCAUAUGCGCGCAUGCGCAAAAGCGAGCGCGUAACAACGCGUCAGAAUACAGGCGUAUAACAAGCACCGCACACGGCCAACUAACUGGCAGUGGAAGGAACACGAUUAACUAUGAUGAUGUGUAGUUGGCAUUCACAUUCGUAUUCGGAUUUGUAUUCGAUCCGAGCUCGGUUGUCUUCCCGCGGUUUACUAAAUGGGUUGGUCUCUAGAGUAUAAAAUGUUCCCGUGCCAGUGAGAUAAAGAAGUGUCCGUAGUGUCGAGAAUAUUGCUGCCGCUAUCGCAUCAAUUGAGGAAGACCCAAAUCAGUCCCUCACACGCCGUUCUUAAGCGUUGGAUAUCUCUGUGUUGUCGUUGUGGUAAAUUUUGCGAAAAGGUCUAGACCUACAUCCUUACAAGAUCAAAUUGACGCAAGAACUGAAGCUGCUUGACCACCAGAAUUGUCGUAUGUUUUUGAAUUGGGUUGAGCAACUUAAAAAUACUACGGAUUUUCAUCGAAAAAUCAUCUUCAGCGAAGAGGCUCAUUUCUGACUGAAUGGCUUCGUCAAUAAGCAAAAUAAGGUCAGGCCGCAAUCCACACGUACUGCAUCAGUCACCAUUGAAGCCCGA